rnacentral:tRNA from 13 species
GUAGAGCGUAGAAAGCUGAAUUCUAAGGACCUGGGUUCGACUCCCGGCG